AUAGGAAGCACUGCAAUAGCCAUUGCAAUGAACGCCAAUGUGGCUGUUCCUCCAGCCAAUCCGUCGAGACCGUCAGUAAGAUUAAUUCCAUUAGCCAUGGAAGCAAAGCAAAACGAAGUUAAAAAAGGAUAGAGUCUUCCAAGGCAUAUGAGCCCAAGAGGCGCGGGUAGGGGAACCACUGUUUUCCAUCAUAAAAAGGUUGAUGAAAUUAGUUACAAGAAUGUAUACAUG
rnacentral:misc_RNA from 1 species